CAGUAACCCGUCUCCGUCUCCCAUAAGUGAAGUUCUCAUGUAUUCCUUAUCAUAAAUUAUGCUAAACCGAACAUUUUAAGUAGCACAAUGUUGGAUCGCAACAAAAUUGUUACUGUUUAACUGUAGAGCAGAUCCCUGAAGCCGGCGAAGGGGGUGGAGUCACUGGUUGGGUCACAAAAACAACUCACAUUCUCCCGCAGACUUUCAUGGCAAGUAAGUUUGGUUUUAGGCUUCCGGUGAACCACAGUGACAGUCAUUAUCCACAAAUAGAGAAAACAUGGGACAGUGGUGAAACUUCCCUGGAGUGGACGAACUACUAAAAUCACUCCAAGAGCUUAUUGGCAACUUAGUCAAGAGAUCACACCAGACUUCACCUGUGUCAGUAAAGGGCAUGCAGUACUUGACUGGCAGUAAAUCUGUUUGGAGACUAAUCCUCCGCUACCUACCAGCUGCUCUCCUGGCACUCGCCGGGGGGAGGAGGGGGGGGAGACCAGCAUUCUUGUUGCCAUGGAGACGGUCAGCCAUGCCAGUUACCCAUAAGGCCUGGCGUCGUGCCCGCCAGCUUGUGUAAGCAUGGGCCCCUUCACUGAACACUUGUUGCAACAUCGAGGGAGGAGGAAGCUGCUGUGGUUUGGUUGCUGCAGAAACCAGUCUGGCAACAAUGACACACUCCACUUCGCAUGAUGUGUUGUAAUUACGGCUAGCGAUGUAACACAAACAAGUUUUUAACUCAUUAAAAUAGUGAAAUAUGCAGUAUUAAUGUAGCUGUUUGUUAAGUUGCUUUGACAUUUUAUGUGUUUUUCAAAUUUUUUCAAUAUGUUCCAUUUCUUUUCCUUUAACAUGUUUAAAGGAUAAUGAUAAUUUAUUUCACCUUGGAAGGUUUUCUGCUUUAUCUCCCAUGUUGUUAUAAUGAACCAAUUAAACAUGAAAUAAAUACCAAUAGUUGUUUAGAUGCACAAAAAGCUUUGCAUGGUCUCCAAAGGUUGCUGCUGGCUAAUCGUUUAACUAAUGCUCUUCUGCACGGUAUAAUGCAAAAUUAUUUAUAUUCAUAUUUAUAUACCAGAAUGCUCUUUUUCUAAUGCUUUGUGUGAUCCAUCUAUAACAAUAAAACGAGUUGUAGCAAAA